GACUAUCGAGAUUCGCGCCUUGAGGCGGUC
rnacentral:sRNA from 1 species